rnacentral:rRNA from 1 species
AUUGAACGCUGGCGGCAUGCUUUACACAUGCAAGUCGAACGGUAACAGGCCGCAAGGUGCUGACGAGUGGCGAACGGGUGAGUAAUGCAUCGGAACGUGCCCAGUCGUGGGGGAUAACGCAGCGAAAGCUGCGCUAAUACCGCAUACGAUCUAUGGAUGAAAGCGGGGGACCGUAAGGCCUCGCGCGAUUGGAGCGGCCGGUGUCAGAUUAGGUAGUUGGUGGGGUAAAGGCUCACCAAGCCGACGAUCUGUAGCUGGUCUGAGAGGACGACCAGCCACACUGGGACUGAGACACGGCCCAGACUCCUACGGGAGGCAGCAGUGGGGAAUUUUGGACAAUGGGCGCAAGCCUGAUCCAGCAAUGCCGCGUGCAGGAAGAAGGCCUUCGGGUUGUAAACUGCUUUUGUACGGAACGAAACGGCUCUGGUUAAUACCUGGGGCUAAUGACGGUACCGUAAGAAUAAGCACCGGCUAACUACGUGCCAGCCGCCGCUGUAAAAC